GCACUUUAAGCAGUGAAGAAGACUCCGUGGUUAAUACCCACGGACGAUGACGUUAGCUGCAGAAUAGGCACCGGCUAACUCUGUGCCAGCAGCCGCGGUAAUACAGAGGGUGCAAGCGUUAAUCGGAAUUACUGGGCGUAAAGGGAGCGUAGGUGGCUCGAUAAGUCAGAUGUGAAAUCCCCGGGCUCAACCUGGGAACUGCAUCUGAUACUGUUGGGCUAGAGUAUGUGAGAGGAAGGUAGAAUUCCAGGUGUAGCGGUGAAAUGCGUAGAGAUCUGGAGGAAUACCGAUGGCGAAGGCAGCCUUCUGGCAUAAUACUGACACUGAGGCUCGAAAGCGUGGGUAGCAAACAGGAUUAGAUACCCUGGUAGUCCACGCCGUAAACGAUGUCUACUAGUCGUUGG
rnacentral:rRNA from 1 species